GAUGAACGCUGGCGGCGUGCUUAACACAUGCAAGUCGAGCGAACGGACGAGAAGCUUGCUUCUCUGAUGUUAGCGGCGGACGGGUGAGUAACACGUGGAUAACCUACCUAUAAGACUGGGAUAACUUCGGGAAACUGGAUCUAACACCGGAUGAUAUUUUGAACCGCAUGGUUCAAAAGUGAAAGACGGUCUUGCUGUCACUUAUAGAUGGUUCCGCGCUGGAUUAGCUAGUUGGUAAGGUAACGGCUUACCAAGGCAACGAUGCAUAGCCGACCUGAGAGGGUGAUCGGCCACACUGGAACUGAGACACGGUCCAGACUCCUACGGGAGGCAGCAGUGGGGAAUCUUCCGCAAUGGGCGAAAGCCUGACGGAGCAACGCCGCGUGAGUGAUGAAGGUCUUCGGAUCGUAAAGCUCUGUUAUUGGGGACGAACAUAUGUGUAAGUAACUGUGCACAUCUUGACGGUACCUGAUCAAAAAGCCACGGCUAACUACGUG
rnacentral:rRNA from 1 species